rnacentral:misc_RNA from 1 species
GGAGCCAGCCAGGCGAGCGUGGACGGGGGAGGUGUCAAGGGAUGCCCAUAGAAAUGGCUUCUCUUUUCAGUAACGUGACUGCGGAAAUAUUGAUUUUGCAAUAAAAGUGCGCGCGCAGUACCGAGAUUUGUGCCAAAAGCGAGAGCAGGACACGAGCCAAAUACGAUGCCACGAUGUGUGGCAUGUUGUCGGCGGUCAGUAAGGAUAUGCGGAGAGCUGGAUAACCAGAGAGCCAUACACGGUCCUACGGAGCCGAGCCGAAUGCACUCGCCAAUUCGGAGCAGAAGCCUUGGGCCAACCAGUCGGAGAAACGUCACGAGCCAGCUGCCACUUAUUCUAAAGGAAAAAAUAAUUACAACUGAAAAUAACAGUCUAAAAAUUAACAAAUAAAUAUCGACAAUUUGUAAAUCCAAUAAUUAAUUGUGAAUUGCCAAGGCUAAGACUUGGAUUCGUGGAAAAAUCCAAGCCGGAGCCAAAAAGCACGUGAUGCAACUGACGACUCCCUUAUGGGACAGUGAUUAAAGUGAAAUUGUGGGGUCAGAGCUAGCCAAAAAUCGAUAGGGGUCGCCUCCAAAAAACGUGUCCUCCAGCUGGAAACGUGCGCAGCCUGCGAAAUUUCCUUUGGUCUUGGUCCUGCUGGUCCCGUCCAAAGUCAGAGCAAAUCUCAACCUACGCAGGGUUAUAUAACACAAUCGCUACAAUAGCUACAACGCCCACGCAGUUUGCCACUAAAUCGAUAGACCAAAAACCGUCAUGACGAGCACCUAAUUGGAUUGAACGCGAGGGAUUAACCACCAGUGGGCUUUAAAAGGGAACGUCACCAUCGAAUCCGCGAAUUUGGGCUAGUCACUCCGCCAGAUAAUGGGUAAAAAGAAGGUACCCAGCGAGGAGCUAAUCGUCCCGCCGCAGGACAACCGGAUAUGCGGCACAAUAUGCAUUUGCCAGAUGACUCUGGUGCUCAGUUCGGUGGCUCUGGUCUAUCUCACAGUGGCCAUCUACAUGCCCUCCACCAGGGCUUUUAAGAGCGGCAUCGACCCCACGCCGGUCAUGUGCACCACCACGCGGGCGGUCAACAAGGAUAACUGCGAGUGGGGCAGCUGCGGCGAGUGGUGUCUGAGCAAGACCUCCGGCGCCUGCAUCCAGAUCUACGUGAAUCUUCGCAGCAAUGGCAGCAACCUCAUCUUCCAGAAUUGUACGAAUUCUGCAAAUAAAACGUGUUACGGCAUCGACCAGGAUCGGGCCGACAAGGCGCGGUGCAUCAACGAUGAGUGCAAAAACCUUACGGGCACAUUCAACUGCACCGCUGGCCAGUGCCUGAACAUCACGGAUGCCUUCGAGUGUGUCUUCCACAACAGCGACGCACCCGUAAAGUGUUCUGGGCGGAGGGGAAAAAUUAAUUGCAUGGACAUUAGUGGCCUGUUCUCCUGUAGCCGGGGAACGUGUCGGAAAAUAAGGACCCCCUACAACUGCGACAGGAGGUGUGUGGAUAUACCGACCCGGAACAAGAAUGUGGUGGUGUUAAGUGGGGACAAGGUGUAUCUAUCCCAGUGCCAGAACGCCAUCAAUGCGGAAACCCUCGAGGAGGUAUGGAACGAAUCGAGCGACAACGUGGCCAUGACUUCCUGUUACUUCAUAAAGAACACAUCGGAUCGGGUGGAUGCAGUGGACUGCAUCAACGGCUCCACUCUGGAGCACAAUAUGCUCAGUGACCUGACCAACUUCACAUAUCUGAGCCACCUGCACGUAUCGGUGGCCACUCCUGUUCCGGAGAUAGCACCUCCAGACGUCGACCUGACCAUUUCCAACGAGUCCAAGCUAAUGAUCAACCUGGAGGGCUGUGUAAACACCCUGAUGGAUGAGUGCAAGGAGUUCCUUAAGGACUUCGGCCGGGAUGGCAGCGACCAUAAUGCCCGCGCCCGCUUCCCCUGCUUCUACUCCCCCUCCAAGAAGGACGUUGUGGUGGCCCGUUUCGAUCUGGAGGUUACCUAUCGCCAAUUUGUGUUCGCCUCGGUGGUGCCAUCCGUCCUCUUUGUUGUGUCCUGCUCGGUGCUGCUCCUGUGCCAGCGCACCGUCUACGUGGGCGACGAUGCCAAGAUGCGAUUCAAGGGAUGUGUCGAUACGGAGACCAUCCUGAACAAGAACAACGUGGGCACACCCACCAACGGCGACAUGGGCGGAGGUGGCGGCGACGAGGUUAUGGCCCUAUGAGAUCCGUCACUCUUUGCUAUUGCCCACAUGUGAGAGGUCUGCGCAGUACUUCUAGGCA